rnacentral:rRNA from 1 species
UCACUCGAGUCGGUCGAACGGGUGAGUAACACGUGAGUAAUCUGCCCUGCGCUCUGACAUAGCCACCGGAAACGGAGAUUAAUACCGGAUACGACCACUUCAUGCAUGUGAUGGUGGUGGAAAGGUUUUUCGGCGCAGGAUGUGCUCGCGGCCUAUCAUCUUGUUGGUGAGGUGAUGGCUCACCACGGCUUUGACGGGUAACCGGCCUGAGAGGGUGACCGGACACACUGCGACUGAGACACGGCCCAGACUCCUACGUGAGGCAGCAGUGGGGAAUAUUGGACAAUGGGCGGAAGCCUGAUCCAUCAACGCCGCGUGAGGGAUGACGGACUUCGUGUUGUAAACCUCUUUCAGUACCGACGAAGCACAAGUGACGGUAGGUACAUAAGAAGGACCGGCCAACUACGUGCCAGCAGCCGCGCUAAUACGUACGGUCCGAGCGUUGUCCGGAAUUAUUGAUCGUAAAGGGCUCGUACGCGGUUUGUCGCGUCGGGAGUGAGAGCACCGCCCUUAACUCGGUGCUUGCUUUCGAUACGGACAGACUAAAUGUAUGCAGGGGAGAAUGAAAUUCCUGCUGUAUCGAUGAAAUGCGCACAUAUCUGGAGGAACACCGGUGGAGAAGGCGGGUCUCUGGCCAUUACCUGACUCUGACGAGCGAAAGUGUGCAUGAGCGAACAGGAUUAAAUACCCUGGUAGUCCACACCGUAAACGUUGGGCGCUAGGUGUGGGGCCUAUUCCAUGCGCUUCCGUGCCGUAGCUAACGCAUUAAUCGCCCCGCCUGCUGAGUACGGCCGCCAGGCUAAAACUCAUAGGAAUUGACGACGGCCCGCCCAACCGGCGGAGCAUGCGGAUUAAUUCGAUGCAACGCGAAGAACCUUACCUGGGUUUGACAUACACCGGAAGCCUUUAGAGAUAGAGGUCUCUUUGAUACUGGUGUACAGGUGGUGCAUGGCUGUCGUCAGCUCGUGUCGUGAGAUGUUGGGUUAAGUUCCGCAACGAGCGCAACCCUCGUUCCAUGUUGCCAGCACGUAAUGGUGGGGACUCAUGGGAGACUGCCGGGGUCAACUCGGAGGAAGGUGGGGAUGACGUCAAGUCAUCAUGCCCCUUAUGUUCAGGGCUUCACGCAUGCUACAAUGGCCGGUACAAAGGGCUGCGAUCCCGUGAGGGGGAGCGAAUCCCAAAAAGCCGGUCUCAGUUCGGAUUGGGGUCUGCAACUCGACCCCAUGAAGUCGGAGUCGCUAGUAAUCGCAGAUCAGCAACGCUGCGGUGAAUACGUUCCCGGGCCUUGUACACCCCGCCCGUCACGUCACGAAAGUCGGCUAACACCCGAAGCCCGGUGGC